rnacentral:rRNA from 1 species
AGUGGGGAAUUUUGGACAAUGGGCGAAAGCCUGAUCCAGCCAUGCCGCGUGCGGGAAGAAGGCCUUCGGGUUGUAAACCGCUUUAGUCCGGGAAAAAGGGGUGCGAGGAUAAUACCCUCGUGCUUUGAUGGUACUGGAAGAAUAAGCACCGGCUAACUACGUGCCAGCAGCCGCGGUAAUACGUAGGGUGCGAGCGUUAAUCGGAAUUACUGGGCGUAAAGCGUGCGCAGGCGGUCUUGUAAGACAGUCGUGAAAGCCCCGGGCUUAACCUGGGAACUGCGAUUGUGACUGCAAGGCUAGAGUGUGUCAGAGGGGGGUGGAAUUCCACGUGUAGCAGUGAAAUGCGUAGAGAUGUGGAGGAACGCCGAUGGCGAAGGCAGCCCCCUGGGAUAACACUGACGCUCAUGCACGAAAGCGUGGGGAGCAAACAGGAUUAGAUACCCUGGUAGUCCACGCCCUAAACGAUGUCAACUGGUUGUUGGAAGGGUAACCUUUUAGUAACGAAGCUAACGCGUGAAGUUGACCGCCUGGGGAGUACGGUCGCAAGAUUAAAACUCAAAGGAAUUGACGGGGACCCGCACAAGCGGUGGAUGAUGUGGUUUAAUUCGAUGCAACGCGAAAAACCUUACCUACACUUGACAUGCCAGAAAUCCUGCAGAGAUGUGGGAGUGCCGCAAGGAAUCUGGGCACAGGUGCUGCAUGGCUGUCGUCAGCUCGUGUCGUGAGAUGUUGGGUUAAGUCCCGCAACGAGCGCAACCCUUGUCACUAGUUGCUACAUUUAGUUGGGCACUCUAGUGAGACUGCCGGUGACAAACCGGAGGAAGGUGGGGAUGACGUCAAGUCCUCAUGGCCCUUAUGUGUAGGGCUACACACGUCAUACAAUGGUCGGUACAGAGGGUUGCCAACCCGCGAGGGGGAGCUAAUCUCACAAAGCCGAUCGUAGUCCGGAUCGCAGUCUGCAACUCGACUGCGUGAAGUCGGAAUCGCUAGUAAUCGUGGAUCAGCAUGUCACGGUGAAUACGUUCCCGGGUCUUGUACACACCGCCCGUCACACCAUGGGAGUGGAAUCCGCCAGAAGUAGUUAGCCUAACCGCAAGGAGGGCGAUUACCACGGUAGGUUUCAUGACUGGGGUG